GCAGAAACUAGGUCAUCAGAUCACUGACACUGAUCUUCAAAUUCUAAUGGAAGCUGUAAGUGCUUAGUAACAUCUUGAUUGUUAAAAGUGCUUUUAUCCGUGUUUAGAUGCUGUGCUGAUCUUAAGAUUGAGGAACUUACAAUCGUUUUGCCUUUAUAUUCAUUUCCUUUAGUCAUUUUGUGCUGAUCUAAUAGAAACUUCCUACGUUUGCUGGUUGACUAUUGAAAACAAUAGAUAAAUAUUAUGUCAGUGUACAAUAAAGUGCAAUCUUAUGCUAUGAUCUUAACAAGCUUUUUCUAAAUUUUUACAGGGUGAUGUAGAUCGUGAUGGGCAUCUGGACUAUGGGGAG
rnacentral:misc_RNA from 1 species